UGAUCAUGGUGCAGGUAGACCCUAAGAAGAGAUUUGAACCUCUUCCAUGCAUGAUAUAAGUUCUCAUCUGCCUUCUUCUUAAAACCCAAAAUCUUACUUCUGAACCU
rfam:Capsicum annuum cultivar Zunla-1 unplaced genomic scaffold scaffold9337, whole genome shotgun sequence